GACGUAGGUGGCAAGCGUUACUCGGAAUCACUAGGCGUAAAGCGCAGGUAGGCGGUUUGAUAAGUCUGUUGUGAAAGCUCCCGGCUUAACUGGGAGAGGUCAACGGAAACUAUCAGGCUAGAGUGUGGUAGAGGUAGCUGGAAUUCCCGGUGUAGCGGUGAAAUGCGUAGAUAUCGGGAGGAAUACCUAUGGCGAAAGCAGGCUACUGGACCAUCACUGACGCUGAUCUGCGAAAGCUAGGGGAACAAACAGG
rnacentral:rRNA from 1 species